GCGAGCUCCCCGGAAGCUCCCACCUGAGCGGCGCAUCCUCAGGGCCUGGGCCUGGCCUCCUUGCCUGUGAGAUGGCACUGUGACGGUGCCCACCUCGUGGGGUGUGUGAGGGCCGAGUGAAAUCGUGCAUUUGCGAUGUCUAGGACACACUGGAUUUGUACAUCUGGGGCUCAGGAGAGGACCAGAUCAGAGCUGGAAAUCAUGCCAGGAAGAGUAUGAAGCAGGGAGAGAAGGUGUGGAGGCCUCCCUGAGGAAACGAGGGGUCGAGCAGGUGAAGAGGGGGCUGAGAGCUAAGGAGUGCACAGAGACAAUGACAGAAAGACGGGAGGUCUGGUUUCAGGAAGGGUGUGAUGGACAGAAGAGAUGCAGCAGAGGUCAAGGAAGGACCAAGAUGCAUCAGGAGGAAAUGCCCAUGACCUUCAUCGCAGCAGCGUAUGUGCGUUGGUCUUCUCCAGGGAUGCCGAAAGUAGACAUACAGGGAGUCGCAGUACGGAUACCACCAGUGCCAGCCUGACCUCACAAGAGACGUCUUGUGUGACUGGCCCUGCCGUCACAGCUGGGCCAGUAAAGUACCUUCCAGGAGGCUCCAGUUGCUACCUGACUCACAACCUUCUAAUCCCAUGAUCUUUUAGUUCUAGUUUCCUUAUCUUGGUCUGAGCAAAUGGCUCAUUUUAAAGAUGACUUGCAGACAAAUGUAGAGAUCAUCCCAGGGGAAAGUGCCCCAAGAAAGGAGAGUCCAAGACCACCUGCCCCUCCCAGUUCUGCGGCUGGAGUGGGUGGGUGCAGCAACCACAGCCCCAGUGUACAGGAGUCACCACUGUCUCCUCCCGCAUUGGCCCAGCUUGGAAGUGCACAGCAACCAAGCAUGAGGACUGAGUUAAGCUUUUCGGAGAAAAAAGACACUAUGAUCAUCUGGCAGAUCACGAUCACUGUUUGGUGCCAGAGGUAAGGAGUUUGCUUGUUGUGUUUGCUUGGAGGCGACAGUUGGCAAUGACAGCCUGGGAGAAGCACCGGCAGUUAACAGCACUCUGCACCACUCA
rnacentral:lncRNA from 1 species